UGGCUCAGUGGUAGAGCGCUUGCCUUGCAUGCAUGAGGCUCUGGGUUUGAUUCCCCAG
rnacentral:tRNA from 1 species